GCACUGCUGAGGAGUCUAGCAAUAGGACGAAACGGCAGUCCAGUGC
rfam:Schistosoma curassoni strain Dakar, Senegal genome assembly, scaffold: SCTD_scaffold0000475